rnacentral:rRNA from 1 species
UACGGAGGUGGCAAGCGUUACUCGGAUUCACUGGGUGUAAAGGGCAGGUAGGCUAUCUGAUAAGUUGGGUGUGAAAUCUCCAGGCUCAACCUGGAAACGGCAUUCAAAACUAUCAGAAUCGAGUUCGAUCGAGGAGAGUAGAACUCUUGGUGUAAGGGUGAAAUCUGUAGAUAUCAAGAGGAAUACCAAUGGCGAAGGCAUCUCUCUAGUUCGAUACUGACGCUAAGCUGCGAAAGCUAGGGGAG